AACGUAGACAUGGCCGGCACGGGUCAAAGUAUAGUAUCUGUUCUCAUCAGCUUAAAAUCUAGUACGGGUUCUAUUUGGACUUAAGAUAUUAAACCUGUUUUUGCAAGCUGGCAGAGUGCUUGAAGCCUACUUUACCUCGCCCGCGGGGCGUUCCGGUAUUGCACUGUCUCCUGGAUCAGCCCACGGUUU